CGUGCCGUCCACCGACGGUCGGCAGGCGAUCCGCGUCGGUCGCGCUGGGUGGUAUGGUUCCCCAGAGGCCGGUUCUUGUGCUGCCUACCCCUUCAGGGGAAGAGCUCCAAACUCGAUGUAAGCCUCCAUCCGGCGCCCUCCAGAGGGCGCGGGAGGACAACGGAGCACCCCCCGCGUUCCACCGAGCCUCCUCGGUCGGGUGGCCCGGGGGGACGUGCGAUGCUCUUGGACCCAGCGAACGCCGGGGGCGAGGACUCACGUCCCGGUCCCAAGUGAAGCAACGGUAUAACGCCGACGGCCGCUCCCGCCCCCCGACCGCCCCGGCGGCGCGGGGGCGAAGGCGCGGCGUCGCUGAGGAAUGCUACCU
rnacentral:misc_RNA from 1 species